rnacentral:rRNA from 1 species
GUCGAGCGGACCUCUUCGGAGGUCAGCGGCGGACGGGUGAGGAACACGUGGGUAAUCUGCCUUUCAGACCGGAAUAACGCCCGGAAACGGGCGCUAAUGCCGGAUACGCCCGCGAGGAGGCAUCUUCUUGCGGGGAAAGGCCCGAUUGGGCCGCUGAGAGAGGAGCCCGCGGCGCAUUAGCUAGUUGGUGGGGUAACGGCCCACCAAGGCGACGAUGCGUAGCCGACCUGAGAGGGUGACCGGCCACACUGGGACUGAGACACGGCCCAGACUCCUACGGGAGGCAGCAGUAGGGAAUCUUCCGCAAUGGGCGCAAGCCUGACGGAGCAACGCCGCGUGAGCGAAGAAGGCCUUCGGGUUGUAAAGCUCUGUUGCUCGGGGAGAGCGGCAUGGGGAGUGGAAAGCCCCAUGCGAGACGG